rnacentral:rRNA from 1 species
GACGAACGCUGGCGGCGUGCUUAACACAUGCAAGUCGAACGAAGUGGCGAACGGGUGAGUAACGCGUAAUCAACAUGCCCUUCAGAGGGGGACAACAGUUGGAAACGACUGCUAAUACCGCAUACUGAAGGCGGGGAUGGCGUCUGAUUCGCUAGUUGGGGGGGUAACGGCCGCCCAAGGCGAUGAUCAGUAGCCGGUCUGAUAGGAUGAACGGCCACAUCGGGACUGAGACACGGCCCAGACUCCUUCGGGAGGCAGCAGUGGGGAAUCUUCCGCAAUGGACGAAAGUCUGAAGGAGCAACGCCGCGUGAGUUAUGACGGCCUUCGGGUUGUAAAGCUCUGUUAAUCGGGACGCGGUACCUGAAUAGAAAGCCACGGCUAACGCCGUGCCAGCAGCCGCGGUAAUAC